rnacentral:rRNA from 1 species
GAGAGUUAAACAGUACGUGAAAUUGUUGAAAGGGAAACGAUUGAAGCCAGUCGUACCUUCGGGUAAUCAGCCUUUCGGGUGCGAUUAUGUGGAGUGUGAGGAGCUUAAACACCUUCAUGUUUUGCAUAUUCGUACUCUUGGGUGUACUUGCCCGUGUGGUUGGUUAACAUCAAUUUUGGUGGUCAUAAAAUGACUGGAGGAAUGUAGCUUCGAUCUCGUAUUGAAGUGUUAUAGCCUUCGGUAGAUGUGAUGAUCGAGAUUGAGGAUUGCAACGGAUACCCUUCGGGGCUACCUGUCUGGUCUCUGAUCGUUGCUCUGGUGCCGAAAGCUUGCUUACGGUAAUCAAAGUCGAUGGUCAAUAGGUUAGAACGGGUUAAAUUCGUUAAGGAUGUUGACGUAAUGGCUUUAAACGA